AGAGCUUGCUCUUAUGAAGUUAGCGGCGGACGGGUGAGUAACACGUGGGUAACCUGCCCAUAAGACUGGGAUAACUCCGGGAAACCGGGGCUAAUACCGGAUAACAUUUUGAACCGCAUGGUUCGAAAUUGAAAGGCGGCUUCGGCUGUCACUUAUGGAUGGACCCGCGUCGCAUUAGCUAGUUGGUGAGGUAACGGCUCACCAAGGCAACGAUGCGUAGCCGACCUGAGAGGGUGAUCGGCCACACUGGGACUGAGACACGGCCCAGACUCCUACGGGAGGCAGCAGUAGGGAAUCUUCCGCAAUGGACGAAAGUCUGACGGAGCAACGCCGCGUGAGUGAUGAAGGCUUUCGGGUCGUAAAACUCUGUUGUUAGGGAAGAACAAGUGCUAGUUGAAUAAGCUGGCACCUUGACGGUACCUAACCAGAAAGCCACGGCUAACUACGUGCCAGCAGCCGCGGUAAUACGUAGGUGGCAAGCGUUAUCCGGAAUUAUUGGGCGUAAAGCGCG
rnacentral:rRNA from 1 species